rnacentral:tRNA from 1 species
GCAGCUAUGGCCGAGUGGUUAAGGCGAUGGACUUGAAUUAAUCCAUUCAUGAAAAAAUCAUUGAAAGGUGAAAUCCAAUGAACCUGAUUCAUAUAUACCCAGGUUCAAUAGAAAUCCAUUUCCCAUUGGGAGCGCAAGUUCGAAUCUUGCUGGCUGCG